CGAGUGAACAGGGAAAAGCCCAACACCGAAGCCUGUGGCUGUUUGGUCACUAGGCAAUGUGGUGUUCAGGUCAUUCCGCAGAGGCACUGCUCCAACCCUAAGUCCAACAAUGAGUACGGUUACUCGGACAUGGCCCAGGGAGGGUGAAAGGCCCGUGUGGGUGGAGCUCAGGAAGGCUAGUGCUUCUCUGGAUAGACCUUGGAGUCGGGUUGUUUGUGAAUGCAGCCCAAAGUGGGUGGUAAACUCCAUCCAAGGCUAAAUACUAACACGAGUCCGAUAGCGAACAAGUACCGUGAGGGAAAGUUGAAAAGUACUUUGAAGAGAGAGUAAACAGUGCGUGAAACCGCUCAGAGGUAAACGGGUGGAGUUGAACUGCAAGCUCUGGGAAUUCAGCUGGUGAGUGUGGUUUGGGCUUGGUCAAAGUGGUUGUUGUCUGGGGUCUGCGUAGCAGCAGGUCUCUGCCCUCGGGUGGGGAUGUGCGAUACACUUAUCAAGUGUUGUGCGCCUCGGAGCAAUCGGGCCUGCUCGCCAGUGCACUUUCUCAGAGUGGUCACCACGACCGGCACUGCUGUCUGGCUGUUGUGGUUAAACCGGUCUUGCAUUGGCCUUGUGUCUUUGCUUGGUCGGGAUGGCAGGUAGCCCGUUGGCUUGUCUGUGGCUUGCCGCAGGCGCCCGGCUUUCGGGUGUAAUCAGCUGACCGUGAUGGUUCUGUGCAGUGUGUCGGAGACGGCGGCUUGUGGUGCAUGCGUGCGUGGCCUUGUGCUGGCGGGUCUGAGUUUGGUUGCUAUGUUGCUUGUUCAAGCAGGCCUGGCGAUGGCUCGGAUCUGUUCGGUGCUUGGUGGCGUUCGUGGUGCUAAUACCAGGGCCAAUAGUC
rnacentral:rRNA from 1 species